rnacentral:rRNA from 1 species
UGGGGAAUAUUGCACAAUGGGCGCAAGCCUGAUGCAGCCAUGCCGCGUGUAUGAAGAAGGCCUUCGGGUUGUAAAGUACUUUCAGUCGGGAGGAAGGUGUCAAGGUUAAUAACCUUGGCAAUUGACGUUACCGACAGAAGAAGCACCGGCUAACUCCGUGCCAGCAGCCGCGGUAAUACGGAGGGUGCAAGCGUUAAUCGGAAUUACUGGGCGUAAAGCGCACGCAGGCGGUUGAUUGAGUCAGAUGUGAAAUCCCCGGGCUUAACCCGGGAAUUGCAUCUGAUACUGGUCAGCUAGAGUCUUGUAGAGGGGGGUAGAAUUCCAUGUGUAGCAGUGAAAUGCGUAGAGAUGUGGAGGAAUACCGGUGGCGAAGGCGGCCCCCUGGACAAAGACUGACGCUCAGGUGUGAAAGCGUGGGGAGCAAACAGG